rnacentral:rRNA from 1 species
GAUGAACGCUGGCGGCGUGCCUAAUACAUGCAAGUCGAGCGAAUGGAUUAAGAGCUUGCUCUUAUGAAGUUAGCGGCGGACGGGUGAGUAACACGUGGGUAACCUGCCCAUAAGACUGGGAUAACUCCGGGAAACCGGGGCUAAUACCGGAUAAUAUUUUGAACUGCAUGGUUCAAAAUUGAAAGGCGGCUUCGGCUGUCACUUAUGGAUGGACCCGCGUCGCAUUAGCUAGUUGGUGGGGUAACGGCUCACCAAGGCAACGAUGCGUAGCCAACCUGAGAGGGUGAUCGGCCACACUGGGACUGAGACACGGCCCAGACUCCUACGGGAGGCAGCAGUAGGGAAUCUUCCGCAAUGGACGAAAGUCUGACGGAGCAACGUCGCGUGAGUGAUGAAGGCUUUCGGGUCGUAAAACUCUGUUGUUAGGGAAGAACAAGUGCUAGUUGAAUAAGCUGGCACCUUGACGGUACCUAACCAGAAAGCCACGGCUAACUACGUGCCAGCCGCCGCGGUAA